GAAAUGCGAUAAUUAAUGUGAAUUGUAGAAUUCAGUGAAUCGUCGAGUCUUUGAACGCACAUUGCGCCCCCUGGUAUUCCGGGGGGCAUGCCUGUCCGAGCGUCAUUGCUGCCCUCAAGCACGGCUUGUGUGUUGGGCUUCCGUCCCUGGCAACGGGGACGGGCCCAAAAGGCAGUGGCGGCACCAUGUCUGGUCCUCGAGCGUAUGGGGCUUUGUCACCCGCUCCCGUAGGUCCAGCUGGCAGCUAGCCUCGCAACCAAUCUUUUUAACCAGGUUGACCUCGGAUCAGGUAGGGAUACCCGCUGAACUUAAGC
rnacentral:misc_RNA from 1 species